AAAUUACGCAGUCUAUCCCAGUAGUUGAGCAAACGAUAACAUCCGUUUGAUGUUUAUAUUUAGACGAGCACUUCCUCAAUCCUCACUACAGAAUCUCUUCUUCGUUGUUCAAGGCAAUAUCUUUCAGCUUGAUACUUCCUCGCAUUUUACAGCGGUUUUCGGGCUGCAGAUCAUACCUUUGUCCACACUGAAAAGACAGCAGCGUGAAUAGUGUCCGAGUAUUGUGCAGUAAAAGUAGACGUGCAAUAUAGAUUUAUUUUUGUCAACCAUGAAGUACAUCUUCUUCAUUGCCUUGAGUGUUGUAGCAGCCAGUGCUUACGUCUGCCCACCAAACGUCUGCAGUAUUGUAACCUGUGGAACUGUAGAAAACUGUGCAGAUGGUGAAAUAGGAAAAGGAUAUUGUGGAUGUUGUGAUAUUUGCAUAAAAUAUUUGAAGGAAGGCGAUCUCUGCAUUCUUGAAGGAUUGCUUGAAAUGC